AGAGUUUGAUCCUGGCUCAGGACGAACGCUGGCGGCGUGCUUAACACAUGCAAGUCGAGCGGUAAGGCUCCUUCGGGAGUACACGAGCGGCGAACGGGUGAGUAACACGUGAGUAACCUGCCCUUCUCAUCGGAAUAAGCGUUGGAAACGACGUCUAAUGCCGAAUACGACUUCGGAAGGCAUCUUCUGAAGUGGAAAGCUCCGGCGGAGAAGGAUGGACUCGCGGCCUAUCAGCUUGUUGGUGAGGUAACGGCUCACCAAGGCGACGACGGGUAGCCGGCCUGAGAGGGUGACCGGCCACACUGGGACUGAGACACGGCCCAGACUCCUACGGGAGGCAGCAGUGGGGAAUAUUGGACAAUGGGCGCAAGCCUGAUCCAGCAACGCCGCGUGAGGGAUGACGGCCUUCGGGUUGUAAACCUCUUUCAGCAGGGACGAAGCGAAAGUGACGGUACCUGCAGAAGAAGGACCGGCCAACUACGUG
rnacentral:rRNA from 1 species